rnacentral:rRNA from 1 species
ACCGACUUCCAUGGUCACCGUCCUGCUGUCUUUAGUUACUAACGCCUUUUGUGGGGUCCGAUAUGCGUUGAUUUUGGCACUUUAACUUUACGACCGGUUCAUCCCGCAUCGCCAGUUCUGCUUACCAAAAAUGGCCCACUGAAGGCCCUUACUAUCUAUCCACUUGCUACGUAGUACGCUAGCUUAGUGGAAAACACACACAUUAACAGUUUGAGAAUAGGUUGAGAACGUUUCGAACCCAACGACUCUAAUCAUUCGCUUUACCGCAUGUGACUAUCUAUUUACUAGACCUCAGCUAUCCUUAGGGAAACUUCGAAAGGAACCAGCUACUAGAUGGUUCGAUUGGUCUUGCGCCCCUAUACACAGUUCUGAUGAUCGAUUUGCACGUCAGAACCAUUGCGGACCUCCACCAGAGUUUCCCCUGGCUUCAUCCUUUCCAUGCAUAGUUCACCAUCUUUCGGGUUCCAGAGCACGAGCUACGAGUACGGCAGCGCCAUUGCUGACGCAUAAUUGCCAUCUCCGAUUUGCCUAGGCGCCAUUAAUAAUAAUAUAACGUCUCAUCAUACAAACAUACGAGCCGCCGAAGCGACCCUCAAUUGCUUUCGUUAAGUUUGACGGAUUCUAUAAAAUGAACCUUUGCGUCACGCUCGUUCGCUGGACUCCUUGGUCC